GGCGUAAGGGCUCGUAGGUGGUUGAUCGCGUCGGAAGUGUAAUCUUGGGGCUUAACCCUGAGCGUGCUUUCGAUACGGGUUGACUUGAGGAAGGUAGGGGAGAAUGGAAUUCCUGGUGGAGCGGUGGAAUGCGCAAAUAUCAGGAGGAACACCAGUGGCGAAGGCGGUUCUCUGGGCCUUUCCUGACGCUGAGGAGCGAAAGCGUGGGGAGCGAACAGGCUUAAAUACCCUGGUAGUCCACGCUGUAAACGGUGGGUACUAGGUGUGGGGUCCAUUCCACGGGUUCCGUGCCGUAGCUAACGCUUUAAGUACCCCGCCUGGGGAGUACGGCCGCAAGGCUAAAACUCAAAGGAAUUGACGGGGCCCCGCACAAGCGGCGGAGCAUGCGGAUUAAUUCGAUGCAACGCGUAGAACCUUACCUGGGUUUGACAUGGAUCGGGAGCGCUCAAAGAUGGGUGUGCCUCUUUUGGGGUCGGUUCACAGGUGGUGCAUGGCUGUCGUCAGCUCGUGUCGUGAGAUGUUGGGUUAAGUCCCGCAACGAGCGCAACCCUUGUUCACUGUUGCCAGCACGUUAUGGUGGGGACUCAGUGGAGACCGCCGGGGUCAACUCGGAGGAAGGU
rnacentral:rRNA from 1 species